ACCUAGAAACACAUAUUUGACAAGGCUUUCAUAGGAGUUGUGGGCAUUUCCAGGGGUAGUUUCAUGACCCUGGUGGUAGUUUGACCCUUCUUCUGUACCGUGAACCUAAAGAAACACAUAUUUGACAAGGCUUUCAUGGGAGUUGUGGGCAUUUCCAGGGGUAGUUUCAUGACCCUGGUGGUAGUGUGACCCUUCUUCUGUACCGUGAACCUAGAAACACAUAUUUGACAAGGCUUUCGUAGGAGUUGUGGGCAUUUCCAGGAGUAGUUUUAUGACCCUGGUGGUAGUCUGGCCCUUCCUCUGUACCGUGAACCUGAAGAAACACUCAUUAUAAUCGGCCUGACCCUUUCUUUGACCUUUAGAAACAGCUGAUGUGAGAAACGAAAAUGUCUUACAAUACAGGAAAUUCGUAAGCUCCCUAACCAAGCACAAAACACGAUAAAAUUCCUUGCAAAUUCCUAGUUUUUGGCGUUGAUAUAAAAAGAAGAGAGAGAGAGAGAGAGAGAGAGAGAGAGAGAGAGAGAGAGAGAGAGAGAGAGAGAGAGAGAGAGAGAGAGAGAGAGAGAGAGAGAGAGGGCAGUAAAUAUGCAUGAUUAAAAGUGUCCCUAUCCGUUAUUGAAGAGUAUAAUGUUUGUAUUUAUUUUUUGUCGUGUUACAGUUUCCUUGAGAACCAUUGUGUGUGUGAGGUCAUGUGGGGCUAAGAUCUGAAAUGCAGGAGUGUAUACAUAGGCCUACCUUGUUUACAUAGGCCCUGCUUGUUUACAUCGGUCCUGGUUGAAUACAUAGGCCCUGGUUGUCUACAUUGGUUCUGGUUGUCUAAAUAGGCCUUGGUUGUCUGCUCAUAAGUCCUGGUUGAAUACAUAGGCCCUGGUUGUCUACAUAGGUUCUGGUUGUCGAAAUAGGCCUUGGUUGUCUGCUCAUAGGUCCUGGUUGAAUACAUAGGCCCUGGUUGUCUACAUAGGUUCUGGUUGUCUAAAUAGGCCUUGGUUGUCUACUCAUAAGUCCUGGUUGAAUACAUAGGCCCUGGUUGUCUACAUAGGUUCUGGUUGUCUAAAUAGGCCUUGGUUGUCUACUCAUAAGUCCUGGUUGAAUACAUAGGCCCUGGUUGUCUAAAUAGGCCUUGGUUGUCUGCUCAUAGGCCCUGGUUGAAUACAUAGGCCCUGGUUGUUUACAUAGGCCCUGGUUGUCUACAUAGGCCCUGGUCGAAUAUAUAGGCCUUGCUUGUCUACAUAGGCCCUGGUUGUUUACAUAGGUUCUGGUUGUCUAAAUAGGCCUUGGUUGUCUACUCAUAGGCCCUGGUUGUUUA